GACGAACCGAGCGAACGUUAUUCGGAAUCACUGGGCGUUAAAGGGCGCGUAGGCGGCUUGCCAAGUCAGGGGUGAAAGUCCUCGCAGCCUUAACUGUAGAAGGGCCUUUGAUACUGGCGAGCUCGAGGGAGGUAGGGGUAUGUGGAACUUCCGGUGGAGCGGUGAAAUGCGUUGAUAUCCGGAAGGAACGCCGGUGGCGAAAGCGACGUACUGGACCUCUUCUGACGCUGAGGCGCGAAAGCGUGGGGAGCGAACAGG
rnacentral:rRNA from 1 species